AUUGAACGCUGGCGGCAGGCCUAACACAUGCAAGUCGAACGGUAACAGGAAGAAGCUUGCUUCUUUGCUGACGAGUGGCGGACGGGUGAGUAAUGUCUGGGAAACUGCCUGAUGGAGGGGGAUAACUACUGGAAACGGUAGCUAAUACCGCAUAACGUCGCAAGACCAAAGAGGGGGACCUUCGGGCCUCUUGCCAUCGGAUGUGCCCAGAUGGGAUUAGCUAGUAGGUGGGGUAACGGCUCACCUAGGCGACGAUCCCUAGCUGGUCUGAGAGGAUGACCAGCCACACUGGAACUGAGACACGGUCCAGGCUCCUACGGGAGGCAGCAGUGGGGAAUAUUGCACAAUGGGCGCAAGCCUGAUGCAGCCAUGCCGCGUGUAUGAAGAAGGCCUUCGGGUUGUAAAGUACUUUCAGCGGGGAGGAAGGGAGUAAAGUUAAUACCUUGGCUCAUUGACGUUACCCGCAGAAGAAGCACCGGCUAACUCCGUG
rnacentral:rRNA from 1 species